ensembl:lncRNA
UAACAUGAUUAUCGUCAAUAUCUGUAUAUCACAUCACAUCUGACUUGCAUGGUGUUAUUCAUUGAUAUCUUGCACUGUACAUAGGGCUUUUGAAUGUGUCUCAAUCUUGAUUCUCAAUCUUGAUUCUCAAUCUUGCAAUCGCUGUAAUUCUUUUUGUUUAAAGAACCAACGUGACAUCCUCUUCCAACUGAACUACACAGUCAAUAUUGUAUUCUGCAUGUUAUUAUAUUUGGGCCAAAAUCCUGUUAGAGCCGGAAUUCUUACUGGUUGGUAGGUGAUCAAAUACUUAUGUCAUGCAAUAAAAUGAAUUACUUAAAAUGUGAUUUUCUGGAUUUUUGUUUUAGAUUCCAUCACUCACAGUUGAAGAGUACCUAUGAUAAAAAUUUGCAGACUUCUACAUGCUUUGGGUUCCUGUAGUCUGGACCUCCAUGGUCUAAGAGUCACAUGUCAAUUCUCUGGUGAGAUGGACAGAGAGAAAAACAUUAUGAACCUGAAGCUGAACAAGACGCUGAAGGAUUUGAAGAAAUGGGGGGUGUUGAGGCAGUGUUGCGUUGGCCAUUUUACAUGGCAACCAAGCACCAAUCAUCUCCUUAUAAUUCACACCUUUUGUUGCGGCUCAAUCCACACAGGGGCUUUUACAACACAUUUCUGGAACUCACACACAAAGACACAAAAAAAAGAACCAAAAAAAAAAACACACUAACUCCCGAAACACAUUCUAACACCUUUCUAGGUCAUCAUGUUUACAUAAUCUCUCGCAAUAAAUUAGAUGACAGAAGGGAGGCCUGCUAUCUGAUGGUCUGUAUCAUUGUAGGCCUCAAACAGUUCUGAGGGAAUGUUGUCAUAUCGUUAAUAGAAUAGUCACUCAUAGUCAAACCCACAUAUACUGUAGUUGGUAAAACCAGCCACCUAAUCUAGCAUUUAUCUAUAGUAUAUUCAUAUAAGAUGGCGUAAUACAUAUUAAAUAAUGCCAAAAGAGAAUUACAUUGACCGCAAAUGUAUGGUUACCACAUGAACCAAAGGCG